rnacentral:rRNA from 1 species
CACGUAGGGUGCGAGCGUUGUCCGGAAUUAUUGGGCGUAAAGAGCUCGUAGGCGGUGUGUCGCGUCGGCCGUGAAAACCUGCAGCUUAACUGUGGGCUUGCGGUCGAUACGGGCAUCACUGGAGUUCGGCAGGGGAGACUGGAAUUCCUGGUGUAGCGGUGAAAUGCGCAGAUAUCAGGAGGAACACCGGUGGGCGAAGGCGGGGUCUCUGGGCCGAUACUGACGCUGGAGGA